rnacentral:rRNA from 1 species
GACGAACGCUGGCGGCGUGCUUAACACAUGCAAGUCGAACGGAAAGGCCCUGCUUUUGUGGGGUGCUCGAGUGGCGAACGGGUGAGUAACACGUGAGUAACCUGCCCUUGACUUUGGGAUAACUUCAGGAAACUGGGGCUAAUACCGGAUAGGAGCUCCUGCUGCAUGGUGGGGGUUGGAAAGUUUCGGCGGUUGGGGAUGGACUCGCGGCUUAUCAGCUUGUUGGUGGGGUAGUGGCUUACCAAGGCUUUGACGGGAAGCCGGCCUGAUAGGGUGACCGGCCUCAUUGGGACUGAGAUACGGCCCAGACUCCUACGGGAGGCAGCAGUGGGGAAUAUUGCACCAUAGGCGGAAGCCUGAUGCAGCAGCGCCGCGUGCGGGAUGACGGCCUUCGGGUUGUAAACCGCUUUCUCCUGUGACGAAGCGUGAGUGACGGUAAUGGGUAAAGAAGCACCGGCUAACUACGUG